CGGGGCCGCGGGCCCGGCGCGCGGAGCGCUCUUAAAGCCGCAGCGCCCCCGCUGCCCCGGCUCGGCGGGCAGGGAGCGCGCCGGCGUCCGCAGUCAAGACGGGGAAGUCAAACCCUCCGAGUCUGCCCGGUGGUCGGGACACGGCGGCUUAGGGUUUGCGGGGGAUGAGCGCUCAGCGUGGGCCACGGUUCGGCGGAGCCUCAGACAUAGGUGGAAUGCUCGGCUAGCGAAAGGUUUGGAUCUGUUCUGGAAGCUGCUUAAAACCCAGUUGUCAGAAACAUGUUACUUUUUUUAGAAACUGAGCUGAAUGACAAUUCCCAGUCCUACUGAAUAAUUUUCCUUUUGCCUUCUUUAGAGCUGCUAUUCUUUCAGCAGCAGAUUCAGAUCAAUUCCAAGACUGCUUUCCUUGAUCAUCACAAACCUAGAAGAACAUUUCUGCAGCUGCAGAGGAAAGAAGUCUGCUCCAAAAGCAAGAUAAACAGCCCUUUAUGCUGAAACUGCUACUGUGAAUGCUCCCAGCUCACACUUCAGUUUCUAUUAUUCUCAGAAAACUCAAGCUCUUUGACUUUAUUGAGAAGCUAGAGCAGCAUGAAUGGCGUAGGGAAGCUUUGCCCUUGCAAGACACUUUGGGUCAAAGGUAUUUCAAGCCAUCUCGAUUCUCUUCUAGGAGUCACUUCAGAGUGACUCUAUUUGAUUUUUUUAAAUAAUUAAUUUUCCAGAGAACCUUGUGAAAAAGCUUAGUCACUUUCAGAACAUAUGUCUGCAUAUGUAUUUACAACUAAAAUUCAUCCUACCAAUUUUAUUGUGAAACAUCAAGUGUCUUUUACUUAGUGGAAGGAAAGAAACUGUAAUGGAAAACUCUUCAUGUGGUAUGAAAAGUUUAGACAACUAUGUCAUUAAAUAAUAGAAAACUCUGCAGCUCUAAAGUUUCACGUAAAUAAGCUUGCUGCUUACAAGCACUGUUGUGCAUGCAAUAGUAAUGACACUCUGGGGGGAGGGGAAAGGAAAUAAAAGUCCAAAUGUAAUGGCUUACUAGGUGGGAAGACUUUUCAAUUAUGCCACAAUUAUGCAAAUAAAGAUUAAAGAGAAAGUUGGUUUGAGUUUUGCUGCAUUUCUUGCUACUCCAGGAGGUCUUUAAAUCAUGAAAAUACUGUCAAAUUUAGCAAUUCUGAUUUUUCAAGAAAACCUUUAAGCACCAAGUUAAAUAUAUUUUAACAUUAGCAUGUUCAUUGCCUCUUGUAUUCUUACCACAUUUUCUGGUACUCAUAUCUGUCUGAAGAUAUAAUUUCAUAUUUAAAAGGUAACUACAGCUGCUUCUAGUUAAAAAUUGUUAAACCAGCCACAGGAUCCAGUUAUGAAAUGUUAAUAAUUGACCCACUCUGAGCAAGGAAUAUUCAACUUAAGACUUUUUAUAUCUAUUGAACAAGUCAAUUGUAAUUAAUAUUUACUGUUAGUCUUCAUAUAUUCAUACAGUCCACUUGUAAGAUCUGAAUGCUAAAGACAGUGUGUUUGUUUUUUCCAUUUAAAGUAUGCUGUUGCAAGUAGAUAUUUGGCAUUUUGAAAAAUCCUA